GACUCGAUGGCGGAAAUUCCGCGUCUGCGCAUUGUGGAAUUGGAUAUAGACAUCCGAGCAGAAGUUGUCGGUUCGAAUCCGGCCCGAGUCA